AUAAAAAGUUUAACAGAUGCAGAGAUACCAAGGAGAUUUUUCCCAUUUUGAUGCCCUUUUUAAUAUAAAACCCACCGAUAAGGAGGAAAGAGGCAACUUCGCCAUUCACAUACAUGUCAAAAGUAGGAAUUUCAAAAAUUAAAAACAAUAAACAAACAAUUUCAAAAAAAAAAUCUUUGUGCUAGAUCUUUUUCAUAGAAGCAACUACGUAUGGUGGACAAUAAAAAUACAAACCACUAUAAUAACAAGAGGCAGCAGCCACCGCACCGAUUGUAGUCACCGCUCCAAGAACCAGCAUCGCUCGGGUAGUCGGCGUCGCUCUACGAGUCGACACCGCUCAGAGAGCCGGCAGCGCUCCAAUAGCCGGCGCCGCUCCGAAAGCGGUCACCGGGCGGAGAAGGCGAGACUCCAUAGGUCGCACAGCAGCAGCGCCUCAGCAGCGUCCGACGACUCCGGGUGGCAGAAGCAAAGGAGUUGGAAGCACCGCAGGGCCAAGCCUCCUCCGAUGCCGCGGCCAGGUCCACCGGGGUCCCUAGACGAUCGGCUUCGCGAGGGCUUAAGCGGUUCCGGGGUUAAAUGGUACCUCCGGUACCUCGGGCAGGCAAGCCCUCAGUUGAAGCCAGAGCCAUGGCAGAGGUCAGAAUGGAGAUUGAGAAUGAGAAACGUGAGAGACACAGGAAAGGCGACAAACCCGCACCCGCCGAUAGGUGGAAGAGCGGGCCCAACAAACAGGCACACUUACCCGCACCUGCUGAAAAGCAGAAGAGCGGGCCACAGCGACAACAGCAGCACAGACCCGCGCCCGCUGAAAAGCGGAGAAGCGAGGAACCAACAGGCUCCAACAAAAGAGGUAGCAACCAGGUCACUCCGCCAGAGACACCGGGCACCAAACGGCAGCGGGAGCAGCCACCCCCUCCGAACUCAUGGUCUAGGAGCCGAUCGAGCAAGGACAUGCGCAGGGGGGUUCCACUCAGCAACCCAGCUAUUCGGAAGCCCUCAAAGGCAUUCGGGUAGCGGUGCUGCUUUGUGAGUACCCUGCUGCUGCCCUGAGCUCGGAAGACCUAACCAGACUCCAGGAUGCCAUCAUGGAAGAGGUUUUCAAAGGAUGGUCGCACCCGCUGGUGUUCUGUGGUGUGUACUUCAGAUCCGGCAUGCUCCUGGUGGACUGCAGGGACGAGAGAACAGCAACCUGGCUGGUGAAGAAAGCACCGGCACUUGAGGGCUGGAAGGGACCAGAGAUGUGCACGAAGAGGGGGAUGACAUCCCUCCAGUGCAUAACAUCACGGUGUUCCUGCCAAGGAGCGCCGAUAAGUCGGCGGAGUUUGCGUUGGGGCUACUAAAAGCGCAGAAUGAGGGCACCCACAUCUCUGCGUGGAAGGUAGUGUCCAGCUCCGUAGAGGAGAACGGGCGCAGACUAUUUCUGGGCAUAGAUGAGGAAUCGUACGUCAGCAUCAAGAGGGCUGGCUUCAACCUAAACUAUAGGUUCAGUUUCGUCACGGUGAGGCCGUGGCGACAAAAGGUCCGCUGCCCAGGCGACCCAGUCAACCUCGACCUUACCGGCGGAACAGCCACCCCUCAGUCAGCUACCCCUAACCCAGACACCAACUCCAGACACCAACUCCAGCAAGCACGUCCGAGCCAGCCACCACCACCAAGCCAGCGGAAGACGUGCCAUCCACGCAGGAGUUGCUAUCAGGCAUCGACUUCAGGCGACUUGAGCUCGAUAGGAGAAGCGAGAGCGAACUACAGCUCUCCGAUCUCGACGAGCCCCAACUAUGACCACGCAUCACUUGGCAGUAGCCCAGGUCAACCUGCAUCAUGCGGUGGCUGCUUCGGCGGUCAUCUCUAGCAGGUUCGCCACGGAUGACCUGGGCAUUCUACUGAUCCAAGAGCCGUGGACCUACAGAGGCCAGGUUAGGGGCCUCAACCACAACAACAACAAGAGUUUCUUACACAGGACUUGGUCGCAGUGCAGACGACGCUCUCGUUAAGUGGCAGAAGCCUAGAGGUGGUGUUUGCCGCGGCCUAUUUCCCGGGGGACAGCAACUACGCCCCUCCGCAAGAGGUACAGCAGCUAGUGGAAUUCUGCAGAAAGAGACGGCUCCACCUCAUCAUACGAACCGCAGAGGUGAGUGUCUCCUAGAGUACAUCUUAAGUGAGGAACUAAGCAUCCACAAUGUUGGCCAACACCGAUAUUUGUAACGAGGGCUAGAGAGGAGGUACUAGACAUCACGCUUAGCAACAGACUGGCUAGCCCUCUGGUCACCCAGUGGGGGUCUCAUCGGAGCCCUCACUGUCAGACCAUAGGAUUAUCCAGUUUGUACUGGGAGUAGAAGUCAAAACUAGGCAGGCAAACAGGAACCCCAGGAAAACUGACUGGACAAAGUACAGCGAGACUUUAGAGUCAAACCUAACUGGAA